GUAAUAGUGGGCAGUCUGGCUUUAAGACAUGUGAUACCUCUCCACCAAGGCUGCACUGUAAUACACGCACACUGUUAGUGCAUUCUAAAGGAGACGGAGCUCGUGCUCAGCGCUGCUUUUCAAUGGGAAGAGAGAGCGGAGAGGAGACACAGCUGUCAUUACGCAGGGGCUGAUCCUUGGCCGUAAGUAAAAGUGAAGAGGCAAAUUAACUCCACAUUACCACAAGGGUCCCCUCCAGAGGAAAAGGUGCCACUCAGAGACGAUUUAAAGGUGGAAUGACAUCGUUGCCAUCCUCUUAAAUCCUGUCCAGAUUCUGACAGUGGCUCUCAGCUGAGAGAUUUCAGUGACUCCACUUGCUGGACGGCGAAACGGACUGAGCAGGGGGCAGGGGGGGACAAAAGACUUUUUUCCCUAAUCCCCAGUUUCACAGAUUUGACCAGGAACUUGUGGGAAUCCCCGGCCGCGGAAUGGAUGGAUUUAAGACAAUGUGUUAAAGCUUUUGGAUGAGCGCUAAUAGGGUUCUUUCUCUCCUGCCUGGAUUACAUAGACGUGCCCUGCCAUGUCCUGGUUGCUGUGCCUGUGGAUUAGCGUGAGCGCUGUGUUGCUGUGUCAGGCCACUCUGUAUGACACCAUCGAGCAACACCACCUGCCCCAGCCUGGCCGAAACGCCAUCCAGAUCCUUGAGGGUGGAACAUGUGAGGUCAUUGCAGCUCACAGGUGCUGUAACAAAAACCGAAUCGAGGAGCGGUCCCAGACUGUAAAGUGCUCCUGUCUACCAGGGAAGGUGGCCGGAACAACAAGGAACAAACCUUCUUGCGUUGAUGCAUCCAUUGUGAUUGGGAAGUGGUGGUGUGAGAUGGAGCCUUGCCUGGAGGGAGAGGAGUGCAAGACACUUCCAGACAAUUCCGGGUGGAUGUGUUCCUCGGGGAAUAAGAUCAAGACAACAAGGGUAAGACCUCCACAGCACUCCAUCCUGAUUCCUGAACACAGCCCGGAAAAGCUAAAAAUAGUCACAGAAAACCACGCAUACUCACUGGAUACUGUUAUCAUUUUUUAUAUUCUGUAUAUGCUGUUUGUGAGUCAAAUAGGGGCAGUUGAAUACAGUAGCUGAUUUUCAUUUACUACAGUAGUAGAUAGUAUUAUAUAUAUACACACGCACACAUGUGCACACACACACAUACAUGUUGCAGCUACCAACUGCCUGUUUAGUAUCAAUUUCAGCUAUGCUAUAAGUUGUUUGGUUUCAAAACACCCUGCAUGGGUUCACUGACUAUUUGCCAGUAAACUAGGUUAAUUACAGGGUUGCAUGCUGACAUGCUGGUAAUCAGGUUAUCAAUGUUUGAUAAAUAACCUCAACAGGAACAGUCUGCAAUCUGCACAGCUAUCAUGAACCACCCAACUCUGUGAUGCCAAAUGCAUCAUCAGCUGACAAGCAGUCCAAGUCAAACAGUCCAGGGUUCCACUAGAUGGCUUAUUUUGAAUAGCAGUUGAUAGGGAAUAAAGUGCAUCUAAAACACCAUUCACCAACAAGAAUUUCAAAACAUGACAUGAAAAGUCAGAGCCUCCAGGUGUACAAUGAAGCACAUAAAAGACACCAAAGCUUUGUGGUCCUGUAUAUCAGAAAGGAUCUCAAAGAGCUAUGAACAGACUGUCAAGUGACCUGUCACAGAAGAGCAGAGAAUCUGAAAAAGGAGGAACACUUUUUGGUAAAGAUAAUGCUUACAGUAUUCUAUACAGUAAUAUCUAUAUUGUAACUCAUUAAUAUGACCACAGUGCAGUCUUUCAUUUGGUUAAACUACCUUCCCAAUCCCAAAUCAAACUGGGUCUUGAAGUCUUGUCUUUACACAUUGAUUUGCAAGCACAUUUGUGAACAAAAGAAAUGGCGUGUAAACAGUGGGGGAGAUCAGCCAUGCUUAGGCAACACACAGUUUUUCAAAGCAUUGUUCCCCUGGUUGUGUGCUGUUCCAAGUCCAGCUAGAGUGAAAAGAAGUUGACUGGAUGAUUCCAUUUUUCAACUCACCAAGAACACCCAGCCAUACUCAUCUUUUUAGUUCUGGAAGGAAAAUGCAGAGGAGAGGGCAAAAAUUAAGACAGAGUGGCAUUCUUACUUCCAAAAAGAGAGGGACCUUCCUUGCCUGUAUCACCAGACAAGGCAGGCAUUUUGUUUGAGGAGUCUCAGUGAGAGGAGCUGGAGGCCUCCUUACACACCCCACAGCAUAGAUCCUCAUUACCUGCAUCACUGGCUAAAUAGAUCAAUCAAUUAUGUACUGCACAACAAUAAUAAAACCAAAAAAAAACAGAGAUGAGAGUUAUUUUUCAUCAUCCAUCCAUACUCCCAGCAUGGCCCAGUCUGGGGGGAAAGGGUUGGAUCGUUGUUAGUCCGAAGAGCACACAGAAACAUCAGCAUAAUGGCUGUCACUUCUUGGUGACACUGAAAAGAGCAAAAAUAUUUGUGACUCUUGAGAUUAUUACG